rnacentral:rRNA from 1 species
ACAGCAGCAGCCACGGGAAUACAGAGGGUGCGAGCGUUAAUCGGAUUUACUGGGCGUAAAGCGUGCGUAGGCGGCUUUUUAAGUCGGAUGUGAAAUCCCUGAGCUUAACUUAGGAAUUGCAUUCGAUACUGGGAAGCUAGAGUAUGGGAGAGGAUGGUAGAAUUCCAGGUGUAGCGGUGAAAUGCGUAGAGAUCUGGAGGAAUACCGAUGGCGAAGGCAGCCAUCUGGCCUAAUACUGACGCUGAGGUACGAAAGCAUGGGGAGCAAACAGGAUUAGAUACCCGUGUAGUCCCUGUCUCUUAUAC